CAUCAGUCACCCUUGUGAGUGCACUUUAGCCAUAGCAAGAGCAAGAUCAGAGAGAAAUAAGGACUUAUGACCAUUAGACCAGGAGACAGGAAGCGAUGGUUCUGGAAGGGGCUCUGUUACUAACUUUGGAAUUCAACUGUCCAGAUAGAAAGGUGGACAUGGAAAAAUUGGGCUUUGCAAAUGGUCACCCAAUUCUUGCCUUCCUGGUCUCCAGAUCACCCUUCCUAUACCGCCACUCUGGAGAAAGAAGUACAGAACGCUAACAAGGAAAUCCCAUCUUCCCAGAAUUCAGCUAGGAUCCAGAAGUGAUGCUGUUACGUGACGUCUUCAACCUCCCUCCCUCUGCCCAUCUCAGGGACCUCUCCAGAAGCCAGUCCCAAGAGUGGCAUUGGUUAGCAUAUCUCAAAUACAGUGGGAGAAGCCUCUUAGCUCAGCUCCAGUUAUUUCUCUAUUGUAGAAAACCAAGAGAGAGAUGAAUAAGGAAUGAAAACAUACUCCACAUGGACUCAAUAAAUCUUGGGUGAAAUGAUGCUGUCUGACAAGGUAAAUAAAAAAUGCAGCACUCAAGCACCAGCACUGGGGAUGAGAUGAGGACACACCAAUUACCAGCACUUCUGCCUGCUUUGCUUUGUUGACA
rnacentral:lncRNA from 1 species